ACAGGCAUGAGCCACAGCGCCUGGCCCCCAGUAGUUUUUCAACUCUUUCCCUUCUCCUUCCCUCCUGCCUCUAGUAGUCUCCCCAGUGUCAUUGUUGCCAUUUUUAUGUCCAGAGUCAUGAGUUUUGUUUGUAAUCCUUCGAGAAAAGACCCAGUGAAGUUAAAUCUUGCCUUGUUUCCCUUUUUUUUAAGAGUCUCUUGAUCCCUAGUAUUAGUAUACAGGCGACAUUCAAUUAUUGACUCCCUGAUGAUUGUUUGCCAGUGUAAGUUUUUUCUGAUAUAUCUAAAACUUUAGCAGAAUUUUAUUACUAAACAGUAAUGUUAUUCCAUCAAAUAAUUUUUUACAUGGAUUAUCACUUGUUAUGUUUUAGAUUGCAUUGUUUUCUUAAUAUGUUUGCAAUUUUUGUUUUAUUGCCAAGAAUGGUGAUAAUACAGCAUGCUAAAUUUGAGAUCCCUGUUUGUUAAGAAAUGAUACAGUAGGCAAAUUUAGUUAGAACUGUUUAAAGCCUGAAGAUAUAUUUUGUUUGCUUUUUUCUUUUUGUUGUGUAGAAGAUACUUCUUUGUAGUUGUCAGUUUUGAAAUUACAUGCACUUUCUCUAAUGAAAUUUCUGACAAAAGACACUAAGAGUAAUGUUCUGUUGUCUUCUAAAAUGGGAAUGUUGCUCAUCUUAUAACUUUGCAGUAUUAUCAAUAAUAAAAUAUGAGAGUGUGUUAGCAGGAUACCGUGAGCCAGAAGUACCAUAAUACACACAGCCAAACUAGGAGGGUUAUGACACAUUGUGUUGGAAGAACUUUUUAUGGCAACAGCAUAAAUUAUUUUUCUGUUGAACAUAGGGAAUGUCAUUGGACUUUUCCAUUUGGAUAUCCUCUGACUCUUCAUACCAAACAUAACCAAAAUGAACUUGCUUUUUACCAACCUCUCUACAUCUCUACAUUCUACAACCAGUUUUUUUUUGUUGUUGUUGUUUUGUUUUUUAGAACUACAAGAAAAGAGAUCCUGUCUAUUUUAUUCACUGUUGUAUCUUCACUACUGGAACAGUACAUGGCACUUAGAUAUUCCAUUAGUAUUUACUUAAUGUUUACACCACUCCUGAGAAGAAUAAGCUUAAGAGAAAGAAGGCGAAGCUGGCUGUCCUGAAAUACUGUAAGGUAAUCCUGAAAAUCCCCAAAGAAUGCUCACCUGCUCCACACAUCUACCCUGGGUACUGCUUGUCCCCUCAGGUAGGAGCAAGGAGCUAGGCUGCUGCUCCAAUCUUCAGCAGGCCACCCCCCAGCCAUCUCACAACGACCUUCCAGGUUGCUGCCAGGCCUCACUGUCUGCUGUGUUCCAGGCACUGACACAGCCCAUCCCUGAAUGCCCAAAGUACCACAACAAUCAGGAGACUUGGGAUAACAGAAGGGAAUUAUGAUAUAAUUUCUUAAAACAGCAUUUUCCCAAAAAAUAAUUGGGCUCCCAAAUCCUCCACCUGCCCCAGGUUGCAUCUGUUCUAUGUUGCUGAUUACAACUUUUUGCUUUUCUUGGCUCCUAACUCCCUCUGUGGAAUGACGAUAGGCAGCUCCAAGUCCUUUUAUCCAGGAGAAGCCCUUAGGCCUGUACAGAUGCUGUCAGCCUCAUCGCAUCUCUGAUUUGUAUCUGCCAACAUGGAACAGACAUGGAGAGGAUGAAGAAGUAGGAAGAAGCUGGGAAGAAGGGAAAUGAGAAAUCUGACAGAAACAUCAGCACUAUGCUCUAUGGCUCAGAAGUGUCUUCUAAUAGAAACAUUCUAUGUUUUAUUUAUAUAACAACUUUUCUCAUAAGUUAUCCUCUUAUAAGAAAAACUGAAGGACUAUCAAUAGAAAACAACCAAGCUGCAAUUUUUGUAACAUGAGGUUGCAGAUUAUGUUCUUUUUUAGGAAGAUGCUAGGCCUGCCUUAUCCCAAAAGUAAAAAGAGCAUAGUAAGACUGCCUUGUUUAUUGAGAUUGCUAAAAUAAUAAAUUGAUAUCAUGAGUCCCA